rnacentral:rRNA from 1 species
UACGGGGGGAGCAAGCGUUGUUCGGAUUUACUGGGCGUAAAGGGCGCGUAGGCGGCCACCGCAAGUCGGUUGUGAAAUCUCUGGGCUUAACCCAGAAAGGUCAACCGAUACUGCGGGGCUAGAGUGCAGAAGGGGCAACUGGAAUUCUCGGUGUAGCGGUGAAAUGCGUAGAUAUCAGGAGGAACACCGGUGGCGAAGGCGGGUCUCUGGGCCGAUACUGACGCUGAGGAGCGAAAGCGUGGGGAGCGAACAGG